rnacentral:rRNA from 1 species
AGAGCGAACGCUGGCGGCAGGCCUAACACAUGCAAGUCGAACGGACCCUUCGGGGUUAGUGGCGGACGGGUGAGUAACACGUGGGAACGUGCCUUUUGGUUCGGAAUAGCUCCUGGAAACGGGUGGUAAUGCCGAAUGUGCCCUUCGGGGGGAAAGAUUUAUCGCCAUUAGAGCGGCCCGCGUCUGAUUAGCUAGUUGGUGAGGUAAAGGCUCACCAAGGCUACGAUCAGUAGCUGGUCUGAGAGGAUGACCAGCCACAUUGGGACUGAGACACGGCCCAAACUCCUACGGGAGGCAGCAGUGGGAAUCUUGCGCAAUGGGCGAAUGCCUGACGCGGCCAUGCCGCGUGAAUGAUGAAGGUCUUAGGAUUAGUAAAUUCUUACGACCGGGACGAUAAUGACGGUACCGGAGAAGAACGCCCGCUAACUCGUCGCCAGCAGCCGC